UGUGCAAACCCCUGGCUAUGACUAGGACGGUCACGACGCGUGAACAGCCAUUCGAAUCCAGUAUUAGUGCGGUGUAGAGUGCUUCUCGGUGUUUUUUCAUCGUCACGCCUGUCUCCUACCCGAGUUUCCAUUUUCACCUGUGACUUCGACCGAUAACGGUGUAAAAACAAAAUGCCUUUCAAACCAGUAGAGCACCCUAAGUGCCCCAAAUGCGGCAAAUCCGUAUACGCCGCGGAAGAACGAGUUGCCGGAGGGCUGAAAUGGCACAAGAUGUGCUUCAAGUGUGGUCUGUGCGGCAAACUCCUCGACUCGACAAACUGCUCCGAGCACGAGGGUGAGCUGUUUUGCAAAGUGUGCCACGGUCGCAAGUUCGGCCCUAAAGGAUACGGCUUCGGUGGUGGCGCUGGUUGCCUGUCCAUGGAUCAGGGCGAACACUUGAAAAGUAGCGAGGAACUUUCGAGAGGAUCAAACGCCGUUCUGGAGCCACGAGCCAUCGCGAAGGCACCGGAAGGAGAGGGUUGCCCUCGAUGCGGAGGAUACGUGUACGCGGCCGAGCAGAUGCUGGCUCGAGGAAGGCAAUGGCACAGGGAAUGUUUUAAAUGUGCCAACUGCUCCAAGAGAUUAGAUUCCGUCAACUGCUGCGAAGGUCCUGAUAAGGACAUCUACUGCAAAGUAUGCUACGGAAAGAGAUUCGGACCGAAGGGUUAUGGCUACGGCCAGGGUGGUGGCGCCCUACAAAGCGACUGCUACGCCAAUGGCGACGCCGCUCCUCGUACGACCGUGAUCGACACCGCCAUAAUCAAGGCCCCACCAGGCAAGGGUUGUCCACGCUGUGGCGGCGUUGUGUUUGCCGCCGAACAAGUGCUGGCAAAGGGUCGCGAGUGGCACAGGAAGUGCUACAAGUGUCGCGACUGCACCAAAACCCUCGACUCCAUCAUCGCCUGCGACGGUCCUGACAAAGAUGUCUACUGCAAGACCUGCUACGGAAAGAAAUGGGGACCGCACGGAUACGGAUUCGCAUGUGGAUCAGGAUUCCUGCAAACUGACGGCUUAACGGAGGAAGAAAUCUCGGCCAGCCGACCAUUCUACAAUCCCGACACGACCUCGAUCAAGGCACCCGCCGGACAAGGAUGCCCCCGUUGCGGUGGUAUGGUGUUCGCCGCUGAACAACAGCUCGCCAAAGGCACCAUGUGGCACAAGAAGUGCUUCAACUGCGCAGAAUGCCACCGACCACUGGACUCCAUGCUUGCCUGCGACGGCCCCGACAAGGAGAUCCACUGUCGGUCCUGCUAUAGUAAAUUGUUCGGACCCAAAGGUUUCGGAUUCGGCCAUAAACCGACUCUUGUUUCGACGGACUCAGAACACGCUCCUUCAUACAUCGACGCGAAGCCCCAAGUCGGCCAGAAGCGGAACGACGGGCACGGUUGCGCGCGCUGCGGAUACCCGGUGUACGCCGCCGAGCAGAUGAUCUCGAAGAACCGCGUGUGGCACAAGCGUUGCUUCAGCUGCGGCGCGUGCCAUCGUUCGUUAGACUCCACGAACCUGAACGACGGUCCGGACGGGGACAUCUACUGUCGCGGUUGUUACAACCGAAAUUUCGGGCCCAAGGGCGUAGGAUUCGGCAUGGGCGCGGGCACCCUGACGAUGGCCUAAUCGACCACCCUCGCGAACCAGUCUCAUAUAUAUAUAUACGAAUAUAAAUAUAAACGCAAAAGCUAAAUUAUAUCCGGACACGCGUGCGCGCAAACGAACGGCGGGCAAACCGUUACAUGGCCGAUCGUUCGUUCGCGCGCAUCGCCAUAAUUGUAUAUGUAUAGGCGCCUGACUUCCUCGACUAACACCGAGACCACGAAGAAAACACGCUGCUCCGUACAAUGGAUAACAUUCGUUUCUCUUUUCGCUGAACGACCAUAGCGCGCAACACCGAUCCGGAAACGCGUGCGCGCCAACGACCGAGACGCAAACCGAUCACGAUCCACGAUCGUGAAACGAGUGACAAAUUGAUUUUUGUUACUUUUCUAUGCCGACUGUCCGCGAAACGCGUGUUCGCGAUCCCCUGGACCCUGGAUCUUGUACACCUCGAUUCUGGGACUGUUCCCGCCAAAAUGUAGCGCUUUCCCGCCAAAACUUGGAAGGUUAAUCUCUGAUGCGAUGGCGCUACGCUUUGACGUGGAACUGUACCGUAUUGUUGAAGCGAGAUGAAAGAUCUUUUUAUGUCCCAGGGAUCAGGGGAACGCGAACAACGCAAAGUACAAAUGGAGAAUAAUGGGCAAUUUCUGAUAAUUCGAUCACUGUUGACUUUUCCAUCACUUUGAUUCGAUGAAGAGCACUGAGAAAUUUUAAUAGCCUGAAAUAAUUCGAUAGUCUUCGAAGUCUUGAAACAUUAUCUUGCGUUCUGAAGAUUCAAGGCUUCCGAGACGUUUCAAAAUUUGUUAACCUCGAACGAACCUCGAAGCGAUCAUCGGCUCGUCGCUGCUCGAAACGCGAUCAGGAGCAACGAUGUAACGACGACGAAUAAAACAAAAAAAUGAACGAUUAUUUUCAAUAAAUGUAUAUUUCGAAAAGGAACGAACGGAAAAAUUGUGGGCUAUGGGUUGGGGCUGGGUUGUGGACCUGUGUUUGAAAAGGGAAGCGACGAACAUCGUGUCUCGACGGCACUCGACAUUCCAUUUGUCAGAUCGAAGACGCGUCGAAGGAAAAGUCAUCGUUCGGGAAUUAAAUUGAUGCAAAUGAUGCGCCUCGCGCGCUCAGCAAUCGCCCGAAGCAUUUACUAUAUAAAAAUAGUUUCAAUAUCGACGGCGCAUACACACACACACAUAGAGAGAGAGAGAGAGAGAACGUGCGAGUUAGGUUCUAACCCUUAAACCGGAAGCUUUCGUAGCGUCGGCGCAAUAUAACGUAACAGAACAUUAAUCUUUAAGUAGCCGCGCGUACGUUGACGAUGUACAACGCGCCAUCGGCGACUGUUGUGGAAAAUAAAUAUCAUUUCUCGAUUUCUAGAACGCCA
rnacentral:misc_RNA from 1 species